UACGUAGGUCCCGAGCGUUGUCCGGAUUUAUUGGGCGUAAAGCGAGCGCAGGUGGUUUAUUACGUCUGGUGUAAAAGGCAGUGGCUCAACCAUUGUAUGCAUUGGAAACUGGUAGACUUGAGUGCAGGAGAGGAGAGUGGAAUUCCAUGUGUAGCGGUGAAAUGCGUAGAUAUAUGGAGGAACACCGGUGGCGAAAGCGGCUCUCUGGCCUGUAACUGACACUGAGGCUCGAAAGCGUGGGGAGCAAACAGG
rnacentral:rRNA from 1 species